CUCCAACUAUUUGACAGACCUGAAGCAGUUACUGUCUGUUCCCAAGGUUUCUACUACAGAUGCAAGAACAAAGUGUCCUUGAACUUUCUGUCUGUCUUACUAUGGCAGCCAAGAUUGAAAGGUGGGAUAGAGGG